rnacentral:snoRNA from 15 species
UGCCAGUGAGGAGCAAACAUCUUGUCUUAAUCCCUGUUAUGGCCCCAGAGCCAGUAAUGGUGAACCCACUGGGGCUAACUGGGAGAGAUGAUGAUAACUUAUUCCAUAAGGAACUGUCUGAGGUAC